GUCAAUCCAACUAACAGCCUAUUGAUGUACAUAAGCAUGUAAAAGGUUGCAAAUAAUUCAAUUUGCAUGGUUCAAGUGAAAUGGAGGUUGAUACUCACAGGAAGAUAAAAGGAAUAAUAGGCAGUCUUGUACUGAACAAUGCGACGGUGCCUGAAGAGAUAUUUAACCAACAUAUAAAUGAGGGCAUAUACGAGAAUCACUAUUAGAAAGAGUUAAAAUGGAAAAA